rnacentral:rRNA from 1 species
AUUGAACGCUGGCGGCAGGCUUAACACAUGCAAGUCGAGCGAGCGGCGGACGGGUGAGUAAUGUCUGGGAAACUGCCUGAUGGAGGGGGAUAACUACUGGAAACGGUAGCUAAUACCGAAUAUCAUCAGAUGUGCCCAGAGGGGAUUAGCUAGUAGGUGGGGUAAUGGCUCACCUAGGCGACGAUCCCUAGCUGGUCUGAUAGGGUGACCAGCCACACUGGAACGGAGACACGGUCCUGACUCCUACGGGAGGGAGUAGGGGGGAAGAUGGCACAAUGGGCGCAAGCCUGAUACAGCCAUGCCGAGUGUGUGAAGAAGGCAUUCGGGGUGUAAAGCACUUUCAGCGAGGAGGCGUUACUCGCAGAAGAAGCACCGGCUAACUCCGUGCCAGCCGCCGCGGUAAUAC